rnacentral:rRNA from 1 species
UAUUUUGACUAUACAAAGGUAUUGAAAUAAGGUCUUAAAUGGAUGCUAAGAGAAUGGUUUAACAAAGGUUAACUUUCUAAGGAUAAAUAUUAGAAGUUGGUUUUUAUGUGAAAAAACUUAAAUAUUUAUUUGGGACAAGAAGACCCUAUGAAUUUUUAUUUUAUAUUAGUAAUAAAGUUUAUUAAAAUAAAAUUUAAUUGGGGUGAUUAUUAAAGAUUAAUAAUCUUUAAGAUAUAUUAAGAUGAUCCGUUAAUAACGAUUAUUUGAAAAAAAUACUCUAGGGAUAACAGCGUAAUAAUUUUGGAUAGUUCAUAUUGGUAAAAUUGAUUGCGACCUCGAUGUUGGAUUAAGAUUCUUAUUUAAUGAAGAAGUUAUAAGAAGUUUGCUCAAC